rfam:Canis lupus familiaris chromosome 17, whole genome shotgun sequence.
CUAAAGGCUCUUUUCAGAGCCACCCAUGAUUUCACGAGGAGCAGCU